AUGGCACGAGACCUCUCUCAGUGCCUGUGGUUCUCACACACUCAGGCUAAGAACAGGGAGAUUGAGGCUACUUUGAAAGUCAACCGGAAAGUUGUGCUGCACUUGAAGGGUUUACAUCAUGACAGAUCUCAGCAUGGGGAAAUCCGGCACAGCGUGGCCCUGGACUUGGCCCAUUCCUACCAGCUGAGCUUCCCCCAGGCCCUGAACUUGGAUGGGGGCAUCAUCUUUAGACAGAGUCCCCAAGGAACUUUCAGCUUCGGUGUGGAUGGACGAGCUGCCGUCAACCACAGUGUCACAUCCCAGGUCUCGGUCCAGCUGAACGGAUCUGACUUCGACUUUGCAUUUUUCUUCCAGCUCAAGCAUCCCCACAGACCAACAUUUCCUCCAAACUUCCAGGUGCAGGCAGCUGCCGGGCGCUACAGAGUGUGCAGCCUCAACGGGUCUCUAUCUGUGCAUAUGUCUGGCCGGGAGCUGGUUCUGCUGGAGGUCGACGCCAGCCAGGACACUCGGAGAAACAGUCAGGGCUGGGGUGUGAGUGUCCUUCUCCACCAGGCUGUCCUCAGUGCCCCCAGGGUUGUUCGGCUGCAGCUGUCUGGAAAGAUCACCCCAGCAAGGAUUUGGCUGUUUUCCAAGGCACUGCUGGACCAGAACACAGCACAGCUGCUCCUCAAGGCAUCUGAGGAACGGAGGGGAGGCCGGGUCCUGACCUUACAGAGCCAAACCCGGCACACGGUGGCUGGCUGGGCAGCGAUGCCCCGCCUCCUGACACUCACAGGAAGGUUGAAGCAGAAGGAGACACUUCAAGAGGGCACCCUCAGGGUCACUGCUGACUCAGCUGUGCUGGGCGUCCUCCUGCGGGACAAGCACGAGAAGGCAGGGAACGGCACCAGCGUGCGCAGCGUGACCUGUGUCCUUGCCCAGAACAGCAGCCAGGCCUUGCCUGGAGAGCUCCAGCUGAAGGGCCGGCUGCAGGCCCAGACGAGGAACCUGAGGGCCCAGGCCAGCAUCCAGGCCCAUGCGGCCAGCCUGGCUCUGGGUGGUGCCUGCUCCUGGGGCCCCGGGCAUGGCCAGCUUGCGGUUGCCCUGACACACAAUAUCAGCACGCUGAGUGAUGCAGGACUCCCCUCUGAGGCAGGGAUGCUCUUGUCUCUUACCCACGUGGCUUCCAACUGCUCAGCACACCUGGCACUGCGGUGCUCGGGGAUUCAGCUAGAUGCUGCCCUUGGCCUAGAGGACCUGACCCCCGAGUCUCCAGGCCGCCAGCUCCAUGCCAGCCUCCGCCACACCCACACCAUGCCCAGCCUCAAGCACUGGGGCCUCCCCUUCUCCAUAGAUGGCCAGGGGCACUUCCAGGUGAGUGAGGAGGGGGCUGCAGCCGGGCCCUUCCAGGGGACACUGGGUCCCAGGGACACCCA
rnacentral:lncRNA from 1 species